rnacentral:rRNA from 1 species
CACGUAGGGGGCAAGCGUUGUCCGGAUUUAUUGGGCGUAAAGAGCUCGUAGGCGGUUCGGUAAGUCGGGUGUGAAACCUCCAGGCUCAACCUGGAGUCGCCACUCGAUACUGCUGUGACUAGAGUCCGGUAGGGGAGCGUGGAAUUCCUGGUGUAGCGGUGAAAUGCGCAGAUAUCAGGAGGAACACCAGCGGCGAAGGCGGCGCUCUGGGCCGGAACUGACGCUGAGGAGCGAAAGCGUGGGUAGCAAACAGG